GGGCGGUACUGGCGGGGAUUCGGCUGGAUCAUCGACGACCAUCUUCGCGAGCCCGCGCGACCGGCUGCAGGUGUGGACAUUCUGCAUUGCCUCUGGGAUCUUCAUUGCAGGGUUGCUCAAGUUAUGGGCUCUGUGACGAUGGAGGCAUGGUGGUGUGAGUGGUAGCGAGAGUAGAGGAAAUGGUGGUGCAGCGCCCUGUGGAACCAGUAGUAGAGAAACUCAACAGGUCCUAUGUGAAGCAACGCCAUGAUGAUGGCUCCCUUUGUUUCCCACAUUGGCAUGAAUCUGGCACUCGGUAUGGCUGCAUAACCCAAGUAGAAGAACAGCCCAGAGAGGAUGAUCUGGUCAUCCCUGUACAGAGUGGUAUGUGCCAGUUAAUUUGAGUGUGAUAGAAGUGAAUAGCAGGAUGUGCGCAUAUAUGACUUACCAGGAUCUCUCCCGGUCCACCUGCUCGAAUUCAAGACCGCGGUCAACGAUGAUGUGCUUCCUGCGUGCGGUUUGGUGGCGAGACAAGCUGAUCCAGAUCUGGUUGUGGAUCAUCCUCAGAAGCAGAGCUGGU